CGCCCUCCAUUCGGUAGCAAUACCGAUGAAGAGGGAGUGGCGAACGGGUGAGUAGCACGUGAGCAACCUGCCCCGAAGACUGGGACAACACCGGGAAACCGGUGCUAAUACCGGAUAUCCCUAUCGGACCGCAUGAUCUGAUAAGGAAAUGGAUUCCGCUUCGGGAGGGGCUCGCGGCCUAUCAGCUAGUUGGUGAGGUAAUAGCUCACCAAGGCAUCGACGGGUAGCUGGUCUGAGAGGACGAUCAGCCACACUGGGACUGAGACACGGCCCAGACUCCUACGGGAGGCAGCAGUGGGGAAUCUUGCGCAAUGGGCGAAAGCCUGACGCAGCAACGCCGCGUGGAGGACGAAGGCUUUCUGAGUUGUAAACUCCUUUCAGCAGGGACGAUUGUGACGGUACCUGCAGAAGAAGCACCGGCCAACUACGUGCCAGCAGCCGCGGUGAUACGUAGGGUGCAAGCGUUGUCCGGAUUUAUUGGGCGUAAAGAGCUCGUAGGCGGUUUGAUUAGUCGGGUGUGAAACCUCCAGGCUUAACCUGGAGCCGCCACUCGAUACUGUCAUGACUAGAAUUCGGUAGGGGACCACGGAAUUCCUGGUGUAGCGGUGAAAUGCGCAGAUAUCAGGAGGAACACCAGCAGCGAAGGCGGUGGUCUGGGCCGACAUUGACGCUGUGGAGCGAAAGCGUG
rnacentral:rRNA from 1 species